ACUCAGCGGCUGAGUGUGGCUUCUCUUUAGAGUUUCUUGGAGUCCUAGCCUUCUUCUCUAAAGUUUCCAUUUUUUUCUUCCUCUCUUCUAUUGAAACACCACCCAUCCAUUAAAGCUUUAGUUGUGUUGAAGGAGAACCCUUUGUUGAAGAUUUGAGUGCUUUCUAAACCUCUCAAGUUUUCAUUUUUCUGUUCUAAAAAGAACCCAGAUCUGUGAGUGCAUUGGAUUCUAUUUGUGGUGUGGACCCUUGUGAUACCGAGUUCGAGUCGGAGGGGCAUACGGGUACAGGGUCAGGUAAUGUUGAGACCUCAGGCGGCAGGAGGCCGGAGCUGAGUUAGAUUGCUGUUAUAUUAUGCUGCCAUGAUUGGAUGCUGGAUUUGUAUGCUGCUUUUAUGCUUAUAGCUUCAGUUUAUGCUUUGGAGUUUUAUGUUGAGACUUGUUGUUUACUAUGUUUAUUUGGUGAGCAUGGGGAUUGUCCAUGACACAUAGUAUUGUUAUGUCUUGUUUAUGUUUUGAGUCUUUUGGAGUUGUAAUAAUGUAUCAGGAUAUUGUCCGGAUUACGAGAUGUAA